rnacentral:lncRNA from 1 species
AGGAAAGUGCCCAGCUGGGGCUUGAAUAUCACCAGAGAAGAAGACUCCAUCACCUUUCUGGGCAUCCCGUCUCACUGCUGUGUCACCUCACAGUACAGAAGUCUGAGGACUGGACCUGAUCAGCAAGAGCAGGAGUCCUAUGGAAUGGCUCCCAUCAGUGUGCAGGGAGGAUGCUCUGGACCAGCAACAGCCAACAGAACCCCUGAGUGUUCAUCCUCCAGAAGUCAACGCAGCUCCUGCCUCCUUCAACACUACAGCGGGAGCAGAAUUCAUUGCCUGCAUCCUUAUGGACAAGGACCAUACCCUGGGCCUACUUGUGUUGGGGUGGCAGUCCUGCUUAGACCUGCAUGCUGCUCAGGAGCUGUGGAGUUUACCCGUCUGCCUUCUCCCUGUACCAGCAGUGUCUCCACCAAGCCAGCCUGAAGCAAAGGAUGCAAAUGGCCCCACCUGGAGGUAAUCGUUCCCAGGUGAUGAUCCCCAGGGGCUGCCUUGCCAAGCCCUGCCAGUGCUGCAGGCAGACAGG